rnacentral:tRNA from 1 species
GUCGGUGGUACAGCGGUUAGAACGUUCGCCUACUAUGCAAAUGGUCUGGGGUUCGAUUCCCGGCCACCGACG